rnacentral:rRNA from 1 species
AACGAACGCUGGCGGCAGGCUUAACACGUGCAAGUCGAGCGCCCCGCAAGGGGAGCGGCAGACGGGUGAGUAACGCGUGGGAAUCUACCCAUCUCUACGGAAUAACGCAUGGAAACGUGUGCUAAUACCGUAUACGUCCUUCGGGAGAAAGAUUUAUCGGAGAUGGAUGAGCCCGCGUUGGAUUAGCUAGUUGGUGGGGUAAAGGCCUACCAAGGCGACGAUCCAUAGCUGGUCUGAGAGGAUGAGCAGCCACACUGGGACUGAGACACGGCCCAGACUCCUACGGGAGGCAGCAGUGGGGAAUAUUGGACAAUGGGCGCAAGCCUGAUCCAGCCAUGCCGCGUGAGUGAUGAAGGCCCUAGGGUUGUAAAGCUCUUUCACCGGUGAAGAUAAUGACGGUAACCGGAGAAGAAGCCCCGGCUAACUUCGUGCCAGCAGCCGCCGUAAAAC